UUUCCGUAGGUGAACCUGCGGAGGGAUCAUUAUUGUGUAACCGAGGUGCAAGGGCUGGCGCUGACACGAAUUGUCGUGCAGGCGCGAGUGCCCUCACCCACAUCCAUGGCACCCCUAUCCGGACCACCGCGAGAGUCCCGCUUUGGCUUGUUAGUAGUGAGGCUUACGUUUUCACACAAAAUUUUUACGCAGUGGAGAAUGUAUUUUUUGUUUUUGCUGUCACGCGCUGAAUACAACUUUCAACCACGGAUCACUUCGCUCUACCAUCGCUGAAGAACG
rnacentral:misc_RNA from 1 species